rnacentral:rRNA from 1 species
GUAGGGAUACCCGCUGAACUUAAGCAUAUCAAUAAGCGGAGGAAAAGAAACCAACAGGGAUUGCCCUAGUAACGGCGAGUGAAGCGGCAACAGCUCAAAUUUGAAAUCUGGCUCUUUUAGAGUCCGAGUUGUAAUUUGCAGAGGGCGCUUUGGCUUUGGCAGCGGUCCAAGUUCCUUGGAACAGGACGUCACAGAGGGUGAGAAUCCCGUACGUGGUCGCUGGCUAUUGCCGUGUAAAGCCCCUUCGACGAGUCGAGUUGUUUGGGAAUGCAGCUCUAAAUGGGAGGUACAUUUCUUCUAAAGCUAAAUAUUGGCCAGAGACCGAUAGCGCACAAGUAGAGUGAUCGAAAGAUGAAAAGCACUUUGGAAAGAGAGUUAAACAGUAUGUGAAAUUGUUGAAAGGGAAACGAUUGAAGUCAGUCGUGCUCUUUGGAUUCAGCCGGUUCUGCCGGUGUACUUCCUUUGAGUGGGGUCAACAUCAGUUUUGAUCGCUGGAUAAAGGCUGGAGGAACGUAGUACCCUCGGGUAAACUUAUAGCCUCCUGUCACAUACAGUGGUUGGGACUGAGGAACGCAGCACGCCUUUAUGGCCGGGAUUCGUCCACGUACGUGCUUAGGAUGUUGACAUAAUGGCUUUAAACGACCCGUCUUGUAACACGGACCAAGGAGUCUAACAUAUGUGCGAGUGGUUGAGUGUUAAACUCAGGCGCGUAAUGAAA